rnacentral:rRNA from 1 species
AUUGAACGCUGGCGGCAGGCUUAACACAUGCAAGUCGAGCGGAGAUGAGGUGCUUGCACCUUAUCUUAGCGGCGGACGGGUGAGUAAUGCUUAGGAAUCUGCCUAUUAGUGGGGGACAACAUUCCGAAAGGAAUGCUAAUACCGCAUACGCCCUACGGGGGAAAGCAGGGGAUCUUCGGACCUUGAGCUAAUAGAUGAGCCUAAGUCGGAUUAGCUAGUUGGUGGGGUAAAGGCCUACCAAGGCGACGAUCUGUAGCGGGUCUGAGAGGAUGAUCCGCCACACUGGGACUGAGACACGGCCCAGACUCCUACGGGAGGCAGCAGUGGGGAAUAUUGGACAAUGGGCGGAAGCCUGAUCCAGCCAUGCCGCGUGUGUGAAGAAGGCCUUUUGGUUGUAAAGCACUUUAAGCGAAGAGGAGGCUACCUGGAUUAAUACUCUAGGAUAGUGGACGUUACUCGCAGAAUAAGCACCGGCUAACUCUGUGCCAGCCGCCGCCGUAAAAC